GACGAACGCUGGCGGCGUGCUUAACACAUGCAAGUCGAACGGACAGGCGCUGCUUUUGUUGGGUGCUCGAGUGGCGAACGGGUGAGUAACACGUGAGUAAACUGCCCUUGACUUUGGGAUAACUUCAGGGAACUGGGGCGAAUAUAGGAUAGGAGCUCCUGCUGCAUGGUGGGGGUUGGUAAGUGUCGGCGGUUGUGGCUGGACUAGAGGCUUAUCAGCUUGUUGGUGGGGUAGUGGCUUACCAAGGCUUUGACGGGUAGCCGGCCUGAGAGGGUGACCGGCCACAUUGGGACUGAGAUACGGCGCAGACGCGUACGGGAGGCAGCAGUGGGGAAUAUUGCACAAUGGGCGGAAGCCUGAUGCAGCAGCGCCGCGUGCGGGAUGACGGCCUUCGGGUUGUAAACCGCUUUCGCCUGUGACGAAGCGUGAGUGACGGUAAUGGGUAAAGAAGCACCGGCUAACUACGUG
rnacentral:rRNA from 1 species